rnacentral:rRNA from 1 species
GACGAACGCUGGCGGCGUGCUUAACACAUGCAAGUCGAACGAAGAGCGAUGGAAGCUUGCUUCUAUCAAUCUUAGUGGCGAACGGGUGAGUAACGCGUAAUCAACCUGCCCUUCAGAGGGGGACAACAGUUGGAAACGACUGCUAAUACCGCAUACGAUCUAAACUCGGCAUCGAGGAUAGAUGAAAGGUGGCCUCUACAUGUAAGCUAUCACUGAAGGAGGGGAUUGCGUCUGAUUAGCUAGUUGGAGGGGUAACGGCCCACCAAGGCGAUGAUCAGUAGCCGGUCUGAGAGGAUGAACGGCCACGUUGGGACUGAGACACGGCCCAGACUCCUACGGGAGGCAGCAGUGGGGAAUCUUCCGCAAUGGACGAAAGUCUGACGGAGCAACGCCGCGUGAGUGAUGACGGCCUUCGGGUUGUAAAGCUCUGUUAAUCGGGACGAAAGGCCUUCUUGCGAAUAGUGAGAAGGAUUGACGGUACCGGAAGAGAAAGCCACGGCUAACUACGUG